rnacentral:rRNA from 1 species
AACGAACGCUGGCGGCAUGCCUAACACAUGCCAGUCGAACGAGACCUUCGGGUCUAGUGGCGCACGGGUGCGUAACGCGUGGGAACCUGCCCUUAGGUUCGGAAUAACUCCCCGAAAGGGGUGCUAAUACCGGAUAAUGUCUUCGGACCAAAGAUUUAUCGCCUUUGGAUGGGCCCGCGUUGGAUUAGCUAGUUGGUAGGGUAAAAGCCUACCAAGGCGACGAUCCAUAGCUGGUCUGAGAGGAUGAUCAGCCACACUGGGACUGAGACACGGCCCAGACUCCUACGCGAGGCAGCAGUGGGGAAUAUUGGACGAUGGGCGAAAGCCUGAUCCAGCAAUGCCGCGUGAGUGAUGAAGGCCUUAGGGUUGUAAAGCUCUUUUACCCGGGAUGAUAAUGACAGUACCGGGAGAAUAAGCUCCGGCUAACUCCGUG